CGACAAGCAUGUAAAUUUCCUUGCAAGCCUCCCAGAUGUCCUCACUUUAGGGCCAACAGUCAGUUUCAGUUUCAAUUUGUUUAUUUGUCCUUCUUCAGUCACAAAUGUGGAGCUGAGAAUGCUGGAAGAGAGAAGAGAAAGCAAAGAAAAAUGGGACGAAGAGGCCUUUUGCUUUCUUCCUGGGAUGUAAGCGGCAGGGAGAAAGCUAAGAGGCUUGGUCUUCUCUCUUUAGAAACAGGUAGAGAUCGUUGUCCAAAGAGGGAGCUAAACCAGGUAAAUCAGCCAAAGGCAACUAAGAAAGUGAGCCAGGCCAGACAGGAAAAAGAGAAAAAAAAGAAUGAAGGCGAGAAGAUGAAACUGGUUAAAUGGGAGAAAGAGGAGGACUCCAGGGCAGCAUCAGCCCCCAGAGACCAGAAGGGGCGCUGGAGUGUCCACUGCCACAGCCCCACCUAGUGGUUGCCCCACAUCUUCCAUACCUCCAGCGGCGGGGCGCUCCCCACAGCACCGGGCAGCUCUGCCUUUCUUUGGGCAACUUCAGCAGAAAGUUCUUAGCAUGAGCUGCAGUCAGCUUCCCUGUUCUAGCCCCUCCUCAUCAGUUCAGAUUCUGCUGCCCACGACAGGAUUUGAAACUAGACACACCCUCUCAGGUGAGGUCUGACCUCACCGAACUACGCAGGAUCAACCGCAGAUCCCCGCCCCCGGCCCCGCCCCCAGGUGGCUCUCUUUGGAGAGCUGCACAGGUGUGCUGGAGGUGGCGGGAGCUGACUCGGGAGAGCUGAUUGUCAAAUUUUCGGGAAUUCUGCGAGCUGGUUCUUAAACAGUUGAUAACUUGAAAUCCACCAGGGUAACGGUACUUAUAGCACAGAUAUUGGCAAACACGACAAAUCAAGGUUUCCCUUCCCCACCCUCCGGAGAGCGAGCUGGUUUACCAGCAGGCCACUGUUCCUAACCUAUCACAUUUGACUUCUUUUGAGAUUCAGUGAUUCACAGAAGAGCGGCAGAAAUCUGUAGCCAGCGACCCCUACAAACCACAAGCACCCAUACACAAGCUACAAAGGGAGAGUCCGUCCCCGUUAGAUCUAAAGAACAUAGAACGGGAUUUUAAUUCCCCUUAACUGUCUUCCAGCUGUAGUGACCACC
rnacentral:lncRNA from 1 species